UACGGGGGGGGCAAGCGUUGUUCGGAAUUAUUGGGCGUAAAGAGCUCGUAGGCGGUUUGUUGCGUCGGCUGUGAAAACCUGAGGCUCAACCUCAGGCCUGCAGUCGAUACGAGCAGACUAGAGUGUUGCAGGGGAGACUGGAAUUCCUGGUGUAGCGGUGAAAUGCGCAGAUAUCAGGAGGAACACCGGUGGCGAAGGCGGGUCUCUGGGCAACAACUGACGCUGAGUAGCGAAAGCGUGGGGAGCGAACAGG
rnacentral:rRNA from 1 species